CGCCUACCGGCAGAAAGGAACCUGUCACUCGCUGUGGCGCACGAGAUGGCUGUAACAGCAGAAGCAACCCAACGACAACAACGAGAAAUCACGACACAGAGCCAGAGUGACGCGAGCUGCACAGGCGACGCGACCACCCGCGAAUCUCACUCAAGGGAAUCGGCUUCUUCCAGAGAAGUCGCCUGCUACCGCUGCAAUGCUUCCGGCUACUGAGCUGCCUCUGCUGCGAAAAGCCCUUUCUUGAAUUGUGAGUGAACGCUGGGUGCCGCCAUGACUUUGGGCCACGCGAGAAGAAGAAUAAGACCGACGGGUGUAUUCGCCGUGUCAUCGCUGCUCCUGCUACUCUUCGUAACGAUGGGAGAACCGUCUCAUGGCAAAGGACUGACGACCCCGGUGCCUGCGGCUUCGUCGGCGCCCGCCGCAGCCGCCACAAAGGAGGAGCCACCCCACGCCUACCGGAGCAGGCACACAAAGAAAG